rnacentral:snoRNA from 1 species
AUGACCUUACUUGAGCAGGAUCUGUUCUAUAGGAUCGUACCGCUGCAUCCUUGACUAAUAUAAGGAGGCAAGCACUUAUGCUUGGUUGAUGACAUCUGACCUGUGGGCCAGAGCGUGAUUAACGGCUCAGAUCAGUCUGACUGAUCCCAUGCCUGCAGAGGAUCGUUCUUGUUCAGCUCUAGGUGGCUCUCUCUCUUUUUGCCAUUUC